CCUACGGGUGGCAGCAGUGAGGAAUAUUGGUCAAUGGCCGGAAGGCUGAACCAGCCAUGCCGCGUGAAGGUCAGUGCCCUAUGGGCGUUAAACUUCUUUUGUGCGGGAGCAAUAAUGGUCACGUGUGGCCAGACGAGAGUACCGUACGAAUAAGCAUCGGCUAACUCCGUGCCAGCAGCCGCGGUAAUACGGGGGAUGCAAGCGUGAUCCGGAUUUAUUGGGGUUAAAGGGUUGGUAGGCUGGGAGGUAAGUCAGCGGUGAAAUGCACCCGCUCAACGGGGUGAAGUGCCAUUGAUACUGCCUUGCUGGAAUGCGGAUGCCGUGGGAGGAAUGUGUGGUGUAGCGGUGAAAUGCAUAGAUAUCACACAGAACACCGAUUGCGAAGGCAUCUCACGAAUCCGCGAUUGACGCUGAUGCACGAAAGCGUGGGUAUCAAACAGGAUUAGAUACCCGUGUAGUC
rnacentral:rRNA from 1 species